GGGCGGAGACAACUUGCGUGAUCAAAGGUUUUUGUACCUGUCUGCUGAACUAGCCGGAUUUCUCGUUUAUUUGUUAAGUGUACAACUGCAAUAUUUAGUCUUUAUAGACAAGGACUCGUAUGGUACAAAGAGGACUAGACGUUUUACGUACUGAAAGGGUUUUGCUUCCCAUGGAGAAACAGUUGCAUUUGAAUCUGCUAGCCUCCAAACCCCCAAUGGCAGGUUUGCAGCAGUCGGGAUCUAAAAUAAGAAUGGGACCAGGAAGAAAACGAGAUUUUACCCCUCUGCCCUGGAGUCAGUACUUUGAAACUAUGGAGGAUGUGGAGGUAGAAAACGACAACAGCAAAGACACAUUCAGAAUUUACAGCAGUGGCUCUCAUGGUCCUGUCCUGCUGCUGCUUCAUGGAGGAGGUCACUCUGCUCUUUCUUGGGCAGUUUUUACUUCUGUUAUAUGCAGCAGGAUUAACUGCAGGGUUGUAGCUAUGGACCUUAGAGGACAUGGUGACACUAAAGUCAAGAACCCUGACGAUCUCUCUGCUGAGACAAUGGCCAAGGAUAUUGGAAAAGUGGUGGAGGCACUUUAUAGUGAAAACCCACCACCUAUCAUGAUUGUUGGUCACAGUAUGGGCGGAGCAAUAGCAGUUCACACCACUGCAGCCAGUCACGUGCCAUCACUGCUUGGUCUUUGUGUAAUUGAUGUAGUGGAAGGUACAGCCAUGGACGCCUUGAACAGCAUGCAGAACUUUCUGAGGAGUCGACCAAAAACUUUUAAAUCUGUGGAGAAUGCCAUAGAAUGGAGUGUGAAAAGUGGACAGAUCAGGAAUGUUGAAUCUGCACGGGUGUCCAUGGUUGGACAGGUGAAAAAAUGUGAGCAGCCCUUAAGUAGUCAAGGGGUUUCCAAGGGCAUCAGUGAAGGAAUUAUUGAAGAAGAAGAGGAGGAGGAGGAUGAAGGAGGCGAAUCCAACCACAAAAGGAAGAAAGAAGAUGAUCAAGAAAUAAAGAAAGAAAGUCUGUACACCUGGCGUAUUGAGCUCUCAAAGACAGAGAAGUAUUGGGAAGGCUGGUUUAAAGGACUGUCUUCACUCUUUCUCACCUGCACUGUGCCAAAGCUUCUCCUGCUGGCUGGAGUUGACAGGCUUGAUAAAGAUCUUACCAUUGGGCAAAUGCAGGGAAAGUUCCAGAUGCAGGUUCUUCCACAAUGUGGCCAUGCUGUUCAUGAAGAUGCCCCUGAAAAAGAAAGAAGUCAUAAAAGUUUUGAGCAAUGGGAGGGUGCAUAAAUGACAGAAUGUUCAGGCAAAAUGAUCUGCGGAAGGUGUGACUCUAUUGGACUGACCAAAUUUUGACUGAAAACAAAUAAUGAUUUUGGAAGUUGCAUUUAAAAUCCACUUGGCUCAAAAAUCUAAACGGGUAGCUGAUGCUCUAGCCACCUUCAUGGUCCGCCACAAGUUCACUGAAUUCAAGGAGGGUUUUCCCUGACGAUGUGUAGUCUCCACUUGUAGUCUCAUCCAGUGACAUGCCUACACCAGGGAUUACAACACAACCAAAACCAUGACAACGCCUCUGCUGCAAAGUCAUUCUUAGCACUUCGUUCAUAAAUUAUAUUCUGUUUUGUAUAGCUUUACAUUUGUUUGCUGUAGUCAUUAUGAUUACCAUGGCAAUUUUGGCUGGAAUAAUUAAUAAUAAAAUAAUCAUUUCAAAAUGUUUUGUAUAUUUUAAUUUUAAUUUUCCCCUGAAAUAAUGUCUUAUGCGUUUCCUUUGAUGCCUUGCUUAUUUGUUGUUGUAAUUAGGAUGAUUGCAUUAUGUUGUGUUCAAAGUGUUGGUCAUUGCUGAUUUCCAAGGAAAUAAUAAAAGAGGUUUCAGCAGUCUGUGCCUUUUUUAUUCUGAUAAUGACAUGAAAUUGUAUUCCUUUGUCUUUAUCUCUGAUCACGAAGAGUGCUACUGUUCAUUGUGUUCUCAAGUUUAAUACAGGGGAAUACUGUAUAUUAAUAGUGAAAAUAUAUUAAAGGAAUAGU